UACAGAGGGUGCGGAGCGUUAAUCGGAAUUAUCUAGGGCGUGAACGCAACGUAGGUGGCGACGUAAGUCGGGUGUGAAAGCCCCGGGCUCAACCUGGGAAUUGCAUUCGAGACUGCAUUGCUGGAGUACGGAAGAGGAGGGCGGAAUUCCCGGUGUAGCGGUGAAAUGCGUAGAUAUCGGGAGGAACAUCAGUGGCGGAAGGCGGCCCUCUGGUCCAGUACCGACGUUCGAGGCACGAAAGCGUGGGGAGCAAACAGG
rnacentral:rRNA from 1 species